GUUAAAACUCAAAUGAAUUGACGGGGGCCCGCACAAGCGGUGGAGCAUGUGGUUUAAUUCGAUGCAACGCGAAGAACCUUACCUGGUCUUGACAUCCACAGAACUUUCCAGAGAUGGAUUGGUGCCUUCGGGAACUGUGAGACAGGUGCUGCAUGGCUGUCGUCAGCUCGUGUUGUGAAAUGUUGGGUUAAGUCCCGCAACGAGCGCAACCCUUAUCCUUUGUUGCCAGCGGUCGGCCGGGAACUCAAAGGAGACUGCCAGUGAUAAACUGGAGGAAGGUGGGGAUGACGUCAAGUCAUCAUGGCCCUUACGACCAGGGCUACACACGUGCU
rnacentral:rRNA from 2 species